AUAGCGCAAGCGCAGAGUAUAUCAGUUCCAGUGUCCCGCGACUCCCGCGGGUUUUUCGGCAGUUCACUGACUGAACUCCAGAGCUUCACUUCAGGCUGCUUUAUCUUCACGGACUAAAAGGGGAGCUUUAAAGGAUGUGACAGUUGGGAUUAAUAUGCGCCUAGCUAGCUACAACAGCAUUACUAGACCGGUGCUUUGGGGUGCAAUUUUUAUUUUAUUUGUCAACUUAACAUAAAUGAUGCUCCUUUAGAAUGAGUGAGGGUAACCCACUAUAUUUAAAGACAUGGAGGUCUGCAACAAGAACCCUAAAAAUACUUUGUGCAUGACAGGCAGAAGAUUGCAGUCAGGCAGACACCAAAAAUUGCUUUCAUGGAAGGUUCAUGUGAUAGUUAUUCAAGUGAUAUGGAGAAUGGUAGCCUAAGCGAGAGAGAUGUGAGCCCCCAUGAAGAGCGGGACGGAUUCACCACCUGGAAUUGCAGGAGCAUCAGCUCUGAGAGCCAAAGACAACGAUGGACCCUCAGCAUCUCACUCCCGAGCUUCAGCUGCAGACUACUGCCAGACAGAAAUGUUGGAUGGCAUUCAUAAAUAUUAUCCAUCUCAGCCUGAUUUGCAUGUCUAAUCCUGGAGACUACCAGGCAAAUAAUGAGCACACUUGCCACCAGUCCAGUUUGGAGCUGCUUACGGGAAACGAGGGACAAUUGCCCUUAUUGACAUGAGUGUCUACAAUGUCAUCAAACGGGCUAUCAUGUGGUGCCAUGCUGGGCUGGAGGAGAAUGUGGUGGAGUCUUUAAUUUCAGAGGUCCUUAAACAUGCACCAGCCCACUGCCAGCAG